ACAUAGAAUUUAUUUCCGAAGCUAAAAGCAUUUAUGGUUGAUAUAUCUUCAAUUGCCAUGUCCAUUUGCAGCUGUGUAUGGAACUUUCCUCUUAUCUGGACAGAUUAAUAAGCAGUUGGCUGGGCACUGGGCGCACUGGGCAGAGGCACUCACGAUUGACAUUGGAGCUGCAGUGGCGCUCAUUAACUACUUCCACGCCCACCAAGCCGGCUAACCGUUUGCCGCCAGAAUUAAUGAACGAAUUAAAGUUUGCGUGACGACAUGAUGUGAUCCAUGGACCGGCGGGGUGGGAUGGACAGGGACAUUGAUGGUGCUGUGGCGACGACGUCAUCAUAGCCAUCGUCACCAGCAUCGCCAGCAUGGAAAAGUCGAAGGCGGAGCUACAGCACAACAUCACCCCGGCCAAGAAGCAAAUGUCGUGCCAAACAAAUACCUCAUGAGAUCGUCGAGGACAGGGAGCUCAGGAACUGGUUUCUGGUGGCAACCGCAUCGCGACAGUCAGCGAAAACGAGGAGUAAGUGCCAAGGAUUCAGCCCGAAGAUGAGAGCACCUUUGAAGGAGUGAUCAUAAGGAGGUGAUUCUAUAACAGCAAUAAGGAAUAUAUGGGUUUUUAUCUAAAUCUAGUUUUUUGGAACUUUCAUCCUGUCUAUAUCCUUCUAAUAAUCAUUACUCAUUAGAUAUUAUAUUAACUAUAAUUUGCCUCUCUCAACCUCAUAACAAAACGAAUCACUGAACUCAGAGACCUUUCGUGAGGAUAUGAAGACAAAAAGUUGGCAUGAAUGUUUAUGAUACAGUAAGCGGAUGGCGACAAAAACGACUGAAGAUGAUGAAAAACCGGAGGUCUAACACCGCCUGUCAGCCAAGUGGAACGUUAAGCUCGUACGUACAUGCAACAUUUGCUGCAUCGCAUUGUCUGCGAAGAAGAAAGUGAAUUGUAAAUUGAAUUGCAUCUGAUCAAAAUCAAGCGAAACGGAUGUGAAACGAAAACGUCUUUCUCUCAGCAGCGAAAUAGUGAAAUACUUUACAGAGCAACAAUAUAAAGUACUUAUGAGAGAUUAGCGGGCUGUGCUGUAUCCACAUCUACAGGGGCCACUGAGGAGGCACUGCGUCCGAUUGACAGAUGUAAAAGUGUCGUCUGUCUGGCUGACAUUGAUGCAUUCGAAUUCGUAUUCGUAUUCCCAUCAGUCCAGCGAUUUGCAAUACAUGAUGCACAAUGUUGGGAUGGGUCGAAAAGGUCUGCCCUGAAAAAGGGAAGACAGCCUGGGAAUGGUGCAAGCUUGGGGGGAUCACCAACACAUAUCAUUCCAUACCAAAUGAUGCAUCUUUUGGGAGUGCAGUAUGUGGAAAAUCUCGGUUUCGGUUCAGUGAGUUUGGCAGCUAAGUUUGAUGUGUAAGAUAUCAACUUACAAAUAAAA
rnacentral:sRNA from 1 species